CUUCAUGAAAAGCGCUGCUGUAUACACUGAAAAAACAAUCCCCAGCAUUGCGAUUUUCCUAAGGCUGCUGAGAGAUCGUGCACCAUCUUGAGAUUCCACAACCGUUUCUAUGAGCGUUGGGGAGACGGCGCCAUCUUGGCUUGCUCUUGUUACUGUCUUCUUGGGAGAUGAGGCACGCGGCUUGAGCUUUUCGUGCCUUGGACUUCUUCUUGGGUCCACAUGGAAAUGACAGGACCUACAUCUUAGUGUGUUUGAAGCUUAUAGUUGACUAAGCCUCCGAAUUCUCAGGGGAAGGAGCUUUUAAUGCAGCAGGUGUAUGACAAGCCCAAGCCAUUGCUAGGGAGUUAUAUAUAAAACGACAGCUUCAGUUUCACAUGGUGAGACUUGGCCAGCCCGGAGUGGACAAAGCAUUAGACGCCCUGGAAUGCCACACUGGGAAGAUUGAGAAAUAGCUGAGUGAACUCAGAAUUCACCAACCUGCUGGCCAUUCAUGUACUGUCUGUGUUCAUGCUUGGAAUUGAUUUCCAGUAAAGAAGCUCAUGUUGGUCUUCUGAGUUUGGGGGACAAAGGACAGUCUCUCUUUCCAGUCCUCUUGGGACCCUAGAAAUGCCUUUCUCCGAGCUGCGGAGACUACAUUUGCCACAAUGGAUUCCUGGAUGCUCCUGGG